CAGAGCUCACGUGCCUUUGUUUUUGACUUGGCUUUUGAGUUUUGACAUCACAUCUUUCACUUGUAUUUUUCUCAAGAAUUUUAAUAGGAAUUUUAAUCUGGUAUAAUAAUCAUGCGCUGCUGUAGGCGUGAAUAUUGUUCUUUAUGUUUAAUAACUUUUGGAAUUGCACUCACAGUAUCAAUGGUUGUUUGUGUUAUGGUGGGAGCCUUCGAUCACCUGAUAAAAGACACGAUACGAAAG